rnacentral:rRNA from 1 species
UGAGGAAUAUUGGUCAAUGGGCGCAAGCCUGAACCAGCCAUCCCGCGUGAAGGAAGAAUGCGCUACGCGUUGUAAACUUCUUUUCCAGGGGGAGAAUUUUCCUGUCGAGACAGGGAUUGACGGUACCCUGGGAAUAAGCAUCGGCUAACUCCGUGCCAGCAGCCGCGGUAAUACGGAGGAUGCGAGCGUUAUCCGGAUUUAUUGGGUUUAAAGGGUGCGUAGGCGGAUUGAUAAGUCGGUGGUGAAAUUCUGCGGCUUAACUGUAGACUUGCCGUUGAUACUGUUAGUCUUGAGUGUGGUCAAGGCAGGCGGCAUGUGUAAUGUAGCGGUGAAAUGCUUAGAUAUUACACAGAACACCGAUUGCGAAGGCAGCUUGCUGGGUCAUUACUGACGCUGAUGCACGAAAGCGUGGGGA